rnacentral:misc_RNA from 1 species
GGUUGACAAGCUCAAGCUCAAACAGCACGAAGAAUGGAAAAAGGCUGUGGCAACAUCCCACUGUUCUCAGCCGAACACUAUUGAGUAUGAGAUGUCCAUGGAUUGGAUUCUUUUACAGGAGAAAUCUGCUAAUUGGUUUAAGCAAUUGAACAAGAAACAGGGUUUACUUAGGGAUCAUGGCAAAAAGACCUUGAAAGCCAAUUAGGGAUUGCUGAUAUUAUCACCUACUUUUCAGAC